rnacentral:other from 1 species
AGGUUUCUGUGGCUUGGGAACUUAGUAUAAUUUAAACCUUACAAGCAUAUACCAUGGGAGCUGCCUCUGGUGCCGGUGUGCAAGCUCAGCUAGUACUGAGAAGCCUAAUGGUUCUAUAGCGGUGCCCACUUUAAACUAAGUGGUUUAAAUAUCAUCAUCCCAAGCGCUAACACAGAAACCCU